rnacentral:rRNA from 1 species
AACGUAGGGUGCAAACGUUGUUCGGAAUUACUGGGCGUAAAGAGCGCGUAGGCGGACUCGUAUGUCGGAUGUGAAAGCCCUCGGCUCAACUGAGGAAGUGCAUUCGAAACUGCGAGCCUUGAGUACGGGAGAGGAGGGUGGAAUUCCCGGUGUAGAGGUGAAAUUCGUAGAUAUCGGGAGGAACACCAGUGGCGAAGGCGGCCCUCUGGACCGAUACUGACGCUGAGGCGCGAAAGCGUGGGGAGCAAACAGGAUUAGAUACCCCCGUA